CCCUGUUGUGGGGGGCGCGGCACCAAAUGUGACAUCAAGCCAGGGCCCCCUGGCCCAGCCACCCGCUCCUUCCCUGGUACCUCGGGUCCCCGGAUGCCAGGCUCAAGAUGACCACACGGGGGCGAUGAGCAUCUAUCCCCUUUCCCCAAGGCUUCAGGGCCAGGCCUGAGCCACACUCCCUGGAGACACGGUCCCUGCCCCCGCAGUCCCCACUCGGGUACCACUGGCCCGUCUGUCUCAGGCUGUCAUCCGGACACAGCCUCAGACAAGGCACACGUGUUUACGUCACACAAAGACACUCCGUGUACCAAGUUCACGCGGCCGCUCCUGUCGGCAAAUACUGAUCACCACCUGCUGUUCGUCAGGGGCCUGCUGCUCAGAGCCCUGGGCCCGCAUCACUAAACCAAGAGGCCCCACUCUUCCAGAAAGGCUUCUCUGCUGCCCCGGGUGCCGGGUCCUGCCUCUGCUGAGUCCCAGGAUUCACAUAGGGUCUGUGUGGCUCUCUCUGAGGGUUCCUGUUGAAGAUCUUGGGGUGGUCUCCACUCCGUCCCCUGUCUGUCCCCAUCAACAGGCCAAGAGCUCUCCGGGGGUAGUGGCUACUUUCUCCCAACCUUUCUUAGUUCCUAGGGCCCAGUUUUGGGGGUCCCCACUACUGGCCCCUCCCUCCUUCACAACCUCCCUCUCCCUUCAGGCCUGUUCUCUGCCAGCCAUCAGCAGGCGACAAGGAAUUAAUCCACACAGCCCUCCCCGUCGCUGCGUCAUAGCCCCAGGUACACACCGCCUCUGACCCAGUUACGAUGCAUGUGACUUAAGAGGCACAGUGGGGAGCGAAAGAAACAGCAUGGGCCUUGGGGCUCAGCAGGCUUGCCCUUGAUCCUGCCCUGCGCCACUUUUUAGGUGGGUGACCUUGAGUGAGUCACUUGUCUGGGGAAAAUAACAACAAUGGCAAUAGCAAGGAACUAACGCUGAAACGGGGCUUACUACCUGCCGGGCCCUGGACUCAGGAUGAGCUCAUCUUAUCUUCCCAAUUCAACGGGUAGGUGUCAUCAUCACCCCCACUUUAGGGAUGAGGAGAACGAGGCACAGAGAGCCUGAAUAACUCGUCCAAGUUCAUGCAGCUCGCAUUGGGACUGGCUCCAAAGCCGGUGCUCUGAACCACUGUUUCCCCAAGUCAGAAUGGUAGAGCAUCUCAUUCGGAUGCCUUGGGAUCCAAGUGGGGAAACCGAGGCCCAGGAGAGAGCAAAGCCUGAGCCGAAGACGCCCAUGCAUUCGCUCAGCUCCUGCUGGGAGGUGACCGAGUGGCAGGCACUGUCCAGGCGCUUCACGGGUAUUAACUCACAGCAGUAGGUAGACCAGCAACUUCCUUCAGGCGGGGACUCCAGGCCAGAGAGUAAAGUAAGACACAUCCGCCUCCCCGAGUGGUCGAGGGCACAUACACCUGGCAUCGGUGGGAACUUGACCUGAAACUAUUUUGCCUUCAUCACCAUUGCCUCCGCUUGAAGGAGCGGCUGUGGACUCGGUGGCUGUGAACUUUCCAGCAGCGGGCGGUGGAGGCCCCUGGCUGGCCCCCUGUUCCUCCCAUGUAGCCGGCCCUACCGUCCACACUUCAGCCGACUGUGCCAUGCCGGGGGACCUCACGUGCCUUGCACCUCAAGUGUGUGUGUGUGUGUGUGUGUGUGUGUCCUCGCUGGCCCCGAGGGAGGCCCUUGGUUUCCGGUCUGUGUGGCUGAAGGCAGGUGGGUGUCACCCAGCCUUCCCGGCAGCAGUUGUGGCUCUGGCCCUGUGGGCUGGGUCUUCUGCCACACGCCGGGAGGGCUUCCCAAGCAAGAAACAAGACCGAACCGCCUACCACUUCCUGUUGGCAGGUGGCUUGAGCUGGGUGCCUCUCUUACGAAAACCAUACCCAGUGCACAACCCAACUCAGAGCUACUUUGGAGCCUGCCUUCCCUACCCUCCCCCACCACAUGCACACACACACUGCCAGCUUGGCAAAAUAUCACUUACUGAGUCCUCAUAAGAACCCUGAGAAGAAGGGCAAGAUGCUCCCUCUGUUGUUUUUUUUUUUUUUUCUUAAAAACACAGCUAUAUUAGUACACACCACAAAAUUUACCGGUAGUAGGCGUACGACUCAGUGAUUUUAGCAAACGUCCGUUGCCGCAAUCAAGUGCUGCUUUCUGUUUUAUAGAUGAAGAACCUAGGAGGUUGGUGAUUUACUAUGGUUCUGGAAAAGACAGCCACUGUCCACCAAAACUUUGUGUUCCCUCUUUUAUAAUACAGAGCUGCUGCUGGAGGGUGGCUGUCGGCAGGGUACUGCAUUUCCUGCCUGCCUGGCAUCCGGAUGUGGCCAUGUGACCAGUUUUCCCCAAUGGAACACGAGCAGCGAUGACAGAUGUGACUGUCUUUUAAGACUGGGAGGAGUUCCUCCAUUCUCUCAUCGGUCCUAAAAGACAGUGGAGCCACAAGACAGGAAGGAGGAGCCUGGGUGCCUGGCUGUAGGUCUCCUGGCCAAGAGGAUUACCCACUCUGCAUUUUAUGGGAGCCAGGAGUGAAUGGCUAUUGUGUUAGGCUGCUGAGAUACAGGGGCUUGCUUGUUACAGCGGCUAGCACUACUCUAAUCCAAGGAUUAUGUAGCAAGGAGGCCAAAAAGGUAUGAUUUGAACCUCGGUUUGUCCACUUGCCUGGAGGAUGGCCAGUCUCAAAAGAGAGGGGGGCCUGCGCUCACCCUGUCUCCUGGGAGGAUAAUAAUACUGGCAAAUGUUUAUCGAGUGUUUCCAUAUGUCGGGUGCUGUGCUAACCACUAUGGACUCAAUCAUUUAACAGUUACAAGCCUGGGCAGCAGGUUCUCCUAUCAUUACCCCAUUUUACAGAAAGGACUACUGAUACACUGGUGGGCUAAUUCGGAUUUGAACUCAGGCGUCAGGCUUCAGGUCCCGUGCUCUCAUGCACCGCGUCCUCUGAGGCUCCUGAAGGUAAACCCAAGCAAACAGCAACCUAAAAUGAGACCGUUGUUACAGUCCCAACAGGGAGGACAUGUGUCCUCCAUCACUGGGGGAGAGAAGCAGAGAGUGGGGAGUUGGGGGCGGGAGGUGAGGUUGGACCAAGUGAUAUCAGCCAGGCCUUUCUUACUCUCACUCGGUGGGGGGGGGGGGGUGUCUAAGAUUCUCUGUCCCCAUAGUACAGGCAAACCCCAAGAGUAUCCUUAACAAAGCUCUGGCCUAGAAGGAUUCCAUCCGCAGACGAUUGUUGCUGGGUGGGUCACCUCCUUGAGUUCGUCUUAUUAAAAGCCGUGUGAAAAAAACAGCCGUAAGGCAUUAUUUCAGGUACUGAGUGGCGACAGGGAGCCUGCUUCACUCUGCUUCUAUGUAAAGCGAGGGGGUGGAGGCUCAUUCCCCAAGCCUCCAUGCCGAGCCAGCUCCCGAUACCCCCUGGCCCCCUUAUCUGCCUCCAGGCUUCUGCCUCUGAGGCCUCCUUGUCCGUGUCAGACCCACUCCUUGUCUUGCUUAGGAAUUUUCAGUGGCUUCUUAAGUCGGCCUGUGGUGCUUUUUUCCUGCUCAGCAUGAAUUUCCCUUUCUUCAGGGAAUGGCCCCUCUCUCAGGCCACGUGGUUCAGUAAGGUGGUCUCCAUCUUGGCUUAGGGGCAGGCCUGACCUGGGCCUAGCUGGCCAGCACAUCCAUCCCACCUGCCAGGUCAUGUGACCGGUUCACAGAUGAACCUGUGACCAAAGGUGGCCCACUGGGAUCUAGCCCUAGGACUCUGGCUGCAGCUGUCAGGAAAGAGAUGCCUCCUGAUCCCUGGGAUGCAAAGGUGGAAGACCCAGGUCUGGAGCUGCUGGGGGGCCAGCUUUGCCACCAUGCGGGGAGCGCCUGCCUGAGAGUGAAGCGACAGAGAACAAAAGCAGAGCUAGCUGUAAGGUGGAGAGGUUUCUGAUGACUCGGGGCACCUGGAUCCAGGCAUGACUAAAGGCAAUUAUACUCCUGACCGUUUGUUUCAUGCAUCGAUACAUUUCCUUUCUGGCUUGAGCCACUUUGAGUUGAGUUUACGUAACUUGCAACCUUAAGAUUCCAGAUAAGUAUACCCGCUCGGGCCCGGGCACCGCGUAGGGUGCUGGCACGGGGCGAGUAGGUUAGACAGAGUGAAGCAUCAGGUAGAAGGUGUGAACCUACACUUCAGGAAGGCAGAUAAAGUAAGGAGUCAGGUGACCAGAAGUCCGAAAAGCCAACAUCAGCACUCCAGCAUUUCCAAGCAGGGCAUGGCAGUGGGGGUCAGGGUGGGUUCCUGGAGGAGGUGACACACAAAUGGGCUUUGAAGGGGGCUGACAAUCCAGUAAGAAACCCAAGAGCUCCUUGAAAGCAAGCCUCAUGCUUUAGUCACCUUGGUGUUCCUAGCACUUAGCCAGGGUGUGACAAAUGGCAGGUGAGUAACGCUUUCCGUGUUGGGCAAGUUGUAAAUUUGUGUCUCUUGGCUUUCCUGAACGUGACCCUGCAGGCACAGUUAUUUCCUCGGGGGCUUGUGUGAGGUAGCAUUGGCCCCGUUUUAGCGAUGCAGAGACUGAUGGCCAGAAGAGUGAUUUGCUCAAAAUCGCACAGAAAGUCAGUGGCGGGGCGGCACUAGAGGCCAAGGUGCAGGGUGAGGUGUGCUCUCCCCCCCAACAGCCAGGGCCCCAAGCUCAGCAGAGAUGGGUGUGGCUGGGAGUGCCACCGGUGUGGACAGAGUGGCAGGAGGUACGUGGAUAAUGGUGAUAGCGGCACAGGGGAAAGUGAUAUAACUGCUAACACUAAGGAUCCCUGUUGUGUGCCAAGGGCCUCACAAAAAUUAACUCGUCUAAGCCUCCCAACAUCCUACGACACAGGGACUAUACUUCACCCCAACUUAUAGAUGAGAAAACUGAGGCCCAGAGCAGUCAUGUUACUUGAUCAAGAUCAUCUGGUCAAUGGCAGAGCUGGGAUUCAAAUCCAGGCAUUAUCGCUCCAGUGUCCGAAAGCCUAACCACUGUUUCAUUGACCCUAAAUUGAUAUAGUACAGGUUAUCACUCAUAUUCUCAGCAUGCCAAUGCUUUGCAUUACUGCUGUCAUCCAAUCUUCACAGCAACCCCAUUUUACAGAUCGGGACACUGAGGCUCAGAGGGGGUCAGUAGCCUGCCAGAGGCCACUCAGCUGGUAAAUUGCAGAGACCAGGACUGAACACUAAAGUUCCCCUGCUCCUCUCCUCUCCUCUCUCCUCUCCUCUCCUCUCCUCUCUCUGGCCCCAGCCUUCAGCACCACAGGUGAGGACAGCACCCAGGCGGGCCCAGUGCUAAGUGCAAGGUUAGGAGAGGCGGGAGCUGGGGAAGCAGGCAGGGUGGAUGGACCACUGCAGACCUGGAACUCAGGCCUCCAGGGCUGGAAAAGGAUGCAUGGGUAUACUGCCGCUGAUUUAACCAGACCCCUAAUGGGUUGUGUUCAACUUUUUUUGCUACUACAAACAAUGAGAAGCCUGCACAUAACUCAUUUUGCUGUGUGUCGAAGUGUCUGUAGGCUCAAUUCUAGACAUGGGUUGCCAGGUUAAAGGGUGAGUGCGUUUGGAAUUUCUGUAGAAUGUUCGAUUCCCCCAGAGGGCUGUGCCACUGGCCUUCCCCCAGCCGUGUAGGAGAGAGCUGCUUCUUGGUGGAGCAGGGCAGCGGCCACCAGCUCCUUCACCCUCUCUGGGCUUCUGUAUCAGAAAUGUGGGGUGGUGGGGGGGGGAUACGAAUAGGUUUCUCACUUGCUUGUUAUUUGCAUAAAGUAACUCUGGAAUCAACAUCAGACAUUAAUAAAGGUGCUUGACCACCCUUGGCACUCAC